rnacentral:rRNA from 1 species
AGAGUUUGAUCAUGGCUCAGAACGUACGCUGGCGGCACGCCUAACACAUGCAAGUCGAACGAAGUAGCAAUACUUAGUGGCAGACGGGUGAGUAACAUGUAGGUAUCUACCCUUUGGCCUGGAAUAACACGAGGAAACUUGUGCUAAUACCGGAUAAGUCUUUACGGAGAAAGCUUUAUGCACCAUUGGAUGAGCCUGCACUUGAUCAGUUUGUUGGUAGGGUAAUGGCCUACCAAGACUAUGAUCAAUAGCUGAUUUGAGAGGAUGAUCAGCCACAUUGGGACUGAGACACGGCCCAAACUCCUACGGGAGGCAGCAGUGGGGAAUCUUGCACAAUGGAGGAAACUCUGAUGCAGCGAUGCCGCGUGAGUGAAGAAGGCCUUUGGGUUGUAAAGCUCUUUCGUCGGGGAAGAAAAUGACUGUACCCGAAUGAGAAGGUCCGGCUAACUUCGUGCCAGCAGCCGCGGUAAUACGAAGGGACCUAGCGUAGUUCGGAAUUACUGGGCUUAAAGAGUUCGUAGGUGGUUGAAAAAGUUGGUGGUGAAAUCCCAGAGCUUAACUCUGGAACUGCCAUCAAAACUUUUCAGCUUGAGUUUGAUAGAGGAAAGCAGAAUUUCUAGUGUAGAGGUGAAAUUCGUAGAUAUUAGAAAGAAUACCAAUUGCGAAGGCAGCUUUCUGGAUCAUUACUGACACUGAGGAACGAAAGCAUGGGUAGCGAAGAGGAUUAGAUACCCUCGUAGUCCAUGCCGUAAACGAUGUGUGUUAGACGUUGGAAAUUUAUUUUCAGUGUCGCAGCGAAAGCGAUAAACACACCGCCUGGGGAGUACGACCGCAAGGUUAAAACUCAAAUGAAUUGAC